rnacentral:lncRNA from 1 species
UUGCUACGAUCGACCUGUUGUUUAUUUACACGAUCUAAAGUCAUGAAAUCAAAGAAAAUAUAACAGGAUACAAGUUGAAUACAACAAAAACAUCAAAAUACUUACAUCCUGACAGAUCUGGACGUUGCAAAAAUUGUCAGACACUGGUUUAGCCUUUCUGGGUUACCCAGAUUUGGCCCGGUCAUGCCUGGUAAACGGGUUUUGAACGUUAAUAACUAACAAUCUAGAUAUCAAACGACACUGAUUCCACUUACAGAUUAAAGACCACAUGACAAGCUACAUAUAACAACUUUAAAACAUCAAAAACCAUAAACGAACAAGAAUAUGUGGCUCCUGACAUUAGUUUGUCAGACCACAAAUUUUGUUCAUGGACAGUUUUGGAAAAACUCGAUUUUAAAGCACUUUGAUGCUAUGGAUCCAUAAUGGAUCAACAUAGAUCAACUAAAAACAUCAUUUAACACAAAUAUAAACACUCAAAUACAAAAUUUUUCUUAACAAUAAGGAUCAAAAAUCAAAAUAAGUUUAUACAUUCUAGCUUUAAAUUCUUGAUCUUAGCUCUCCAAUCUGAUAUUGGUUGAUCUAGGGGCUGUAUUUAGGACUGAUUCACUUGAUAUUUUCGGAGGGUUAGAGAGAAAAAGAGCUGGUGAGAGCUUGG